UUCAGACAAAGCAGGCUUGCAAAGAGCCAAGGGAAAAACCAUCUGGCCUUGGCACAGGGGUGUCUGUAGAAGCCCUGAAGCUGCUGAGCAUCACAUUUCUGCUGUGCUCUCUGACUUGCCUCUUGCUGGAGACUGUUGCUUCCUCUGUGUCACUGCCACAACACUCAGUGGGUGUGUUUGCCGUUAUGAUGAAAGUUCCGGCCUCCAUAGGACCUAAGAUUCCCAUCGAAGAAAAUUCCAGGUCCUGGCUGAGCAACUUCAAGGAUUAUCUCUGCAAUCUCAUCAGGAGCCACAUCCCUCCAGCAGCCAUUUUUAUUUUUCUUAUUAUGUCAGCAGUGCUGGGGAUCCUCUGCUGCCUCACUGUUCUAAUAGGUGAACCAGUCCAAUGAAGUAUGAGAAGAUUCAGUGGACAACUGUAAUGCUUAGCUUGCUGGAUUCCAAGAGAGUGGAGAGUGUGAUAUUUGUGUACAAUAAGGAAGUAUCUACCAGGUAAAAUUAAAUCAUCUUACAUCUUAAACGAUCUUUGCCUUUAUUUUCUCCUUUAAAACAUGCAAUUGAAACAAAAUGAUAAGAGACUCAUUACUGUUUUAAUUAUAA
ensembl:lncRNA